rnacentral:rRNA from 2 species
CCACCCGAGACUCAGUGAAAUUGAACUCGCUGUGAAGAUGCAGUGUACCCGCGGCAAGACGGAAAGACCCCGUGAACCUUUACUAUAGCUUGACACUGAACAUUGAGCCUUGAUGUGUAGGAUAGGUGGGAGGCUUUGAAGUGUGGACGCCAGUCUGCAUGGAGCCGACCUUGAAAUACCACCCUUUAAUGUUUGAUGUUCUAACGUGGACCCGUUACCCGGGUUGCGGACAGUGUCUGGUGGGUAGUUUGACUGGGGCGGUCUCCUCCUAAAGAGUAACGGAGGAGCACGAAGGUUGGCUAAUCCUGGUCGGACAUCAGGAGGUUAGUGCAAUGGCAUAAGCCAGCUUGACUGCGAGCGUGACGGCGCGAGCAGGUGCGAAAGCAGGUCAUAGUGAUCCGGUGGUUCUGAAUGGAAGGGCCAUCGCUCAACGGAUAAAAGGUACUCCGGGGAUAACAGGCUGAUACCGCCCAAGAGUUCAUAUCGACGGCGGUGUUUGGCACCUCGAUGUCGGCUCAUCACAUCCUGGGGCUGAAGUAGGUCCCAAGGGUAUGGCUGUUCGCCAUUUAAAGUGGUACGCGAGCUGGGUUUAGAACGUCGUGAGACAGUUCGGUCCCUAUCUGCCGUGGGCGCUGGAGAACUGAGGGGGGCUGCUCCUAGUACGAGAGGACCGGAGUGGACGCAUCACUGGUGUUCGGGUUGUCAUGCCAAUGGCACUGCCCGGUAGCUAAAUGCGGAAGAGAUAAGUGCUGAAAGCAUCUAAGCACGAAACUUGCCCCGAG